UCUUUGGUGAUUUUAGCUGUAUGGUGUCUCAUAUUCCAUAGAGCUUUAUUACCAAAAACC
rnacentral:pre_miRNA from 1 species